AGUUUGAUCAUGGCUCAGAUUGAACGCUGGCGGGAUGCUUUACACAUGCAAGUCGAACGGCAGCACGGACUUCGGUCUGGUGGCGAGGGCGAACGUGAGUAAUGUAUCGGAACGUGCCUAGUAGCGGGGGAUAACUACGCGAAAGCGUAGCUAAUACCGCAUACGCCCUUCGGGGAAAGUGGGGACCCGGGCCUCGCACUAUUAGAGCGGCCGAUAUCGAUUAGCUAGUUGGUGGGGUAACGGCUCACCAAGGCGACGAUCCGUAGCUGGUUUGAGAGGACGACCAGCCACACUGGGACUGGAGAUUAUCGGCCCAGAUCCUACGGGAGGCAGCAGUGGGGAAUUUUGACAAUGGGGAAACCUGAUCCAGGCCAUCCGGGCGUGUGCGAUGAAGGCCUUCGGGUUGUAAAGCACUUUUGGCAGUGAAAGAAACGGCACGGAUAAUACCCCGUGCAACUGACGGCACCACCGGCGCACCGGCUAACUACGUGCCAGCAGCCGCGGUAAUACGUAGGGUGCAAGCGUUAAUCGGAAUUACUGGGCGUAAAGCGUGCGCAGGCGGUUCGGAAAGAAAGAUGUGAAAUCCCAGAGCUUAACUUUGAACUGCAUUUUUAACUACCGAGCUAGAGUGUGUCAGAGAGGUGGAAUUCCGCGUGUAGCAGUGAAAUGUGUAGAUAUGCGGAGGAACACCGAUGGCGAAGGCAGCCUCCUGGGAUAACACUGACGCUCAUGCACGAAAGCGUGGGGAGCAAACAGGAUUAGAUACCCUGGUAGUCCACGCCCUAAACGAUGUCACCCAUUGUUGGCCUGCCCCUUGGUAGCGCGGCUGGAUCGCAGGAAGUUGGACCGUCAGGAGUAUGGUCGCAAGAUUAAAACUCAGCGAAUUGAUUUUUGGGACCCGCACAGCGUGGAUGAUGUGAUUAAUUCGAUGCAACGCGAAAAAACCUUACCUACCCUUGACAUACCCGGAACCUGAAGAGAUUUGGGAGGUCGCAAGAGAACCGGAAACAGGUGCUGCAUGUUGGGCGUCAGCUCGUGUCGUGAGAUGUUGGGUUAAGUCCCGCAACGGAGCGCAACCCAUUAUUAUUACAGCCGAAAGGGCACUCUAUCGACUGCCGGUGACAAACCGGAGGAAGGUGUAGAUGACGUCAAGUCCUCAUGGCCCUUAUGGUAGGGCUUCACACGUCAAGAAGGAAUGGUCGGGACAGAGGUGGUCGCCAACCCGCGAGGGAGCCAAUCCCAGAAACCCGACCGUAGUCCGAUCGCAGUCUGCAACUCGACUGCGUGAAGUCGGAAUCGCUAGUAAUCGCGGAUCAGCAUGUCGCGGUGAAUACGUUCCCGGGUCUUGUACACACCGCCCGUCACACCAUGGGAUGGUCACCAGAAGUAGUUAGCCUAACCGUAAGGAGGGCGAUUACUACGGUAGGAUUCAUGACUGGGGUGAAGUCGUAACAAGGUAAC
rnacentral:rRNA from 1 species